rnacentral:rRNA from 1 species
UACGUAGGUGGCAAGCGUUGUCCGGAUUUAUUGGGUUUAAAGGGUGCGUAGGCGGUCCUAUAAGUCAGUGCUGAAAUAUCCCGGCUUAACCGGGAGGGUGGCAUUGAUGCUGUUGGACUUGAGUAAAGUUGAGGUUGGCGGAAUUGACGGUGUAGCGGUGAAAUGCUUAGAUAUCGUCAAGAACACCUAUUGCGAAGGCAGCUAACUAAGCUUUAACUGACGCUGAGGCACGAAAGUGUGGGGAUCAAACAGG